GAUGAAGAACGCAGCGAAAUGCGAUAAGUAGUGUGAAUUGCAGAAUUCAGUGAAUCAUCGAAUCUUUGAACGCACAUUGCGCCCUUUGGUAUUCCUUAGGGCAUGCCUGUUCGAGCGUCAUUUAAACCUUCAAGCUAAGCUUGGUGUUGGGUAACUGUCCGCUUCACGGCGGACUCGCCUCAAAAUUAUUGGCGGCCGGUACAUUGGCUUCGAGCGCAGCAGAAACGCGAACUCGGGCCCGUCGUAUUGGCUCCCAGAAGCUAUCUUCACAAUUUUGACCUCGGAUCAGGUAGGGAUACCCGCUGAACUUAAGCAUAUCAAUAAGCGGAGGA
rnacentral:misc_RNA from 1 species